AUAAUACUCCCUCCGUCCAAAAACACUUGUCGCAAAAAUGGACAUAAAUGGAUGCAUCAUGAACUAAAAUACGUCUAGAUACAUUCAUUUCUUCGACAAGUAAUUUUGGAUGGAGGGAGUACACC
rfam:Hordeum vulgare subsp. vulgare, WGS project CAJW01000000 data, contig: morex_contig_1626434